rnacentral:rRNA from 1 species
UACGAGAGGGGCAAGCGUUAUUCGGGAUGAUUGGGCGUAAAGCGCACGUAGGCUGUUUAGAAAAUCAGAGAGAAAAACCUCAAAGCUCCCCUUUGACACUUCUCUCCUGAUUCCUAAACUCGAGUGAGUAAGAGGAGAAUGGAAUUCCUGGCGUAGAGGUAAAAUUUGUUGAUAUCAGGAGGAACACCAAAAGCGAAGGCAAUUCUCUGGUACUCUACUGACGUUGAGGUGCGACAGCGUGGGGAUCAAAAGGG